UUCGCCUUCAUGAAGCCGGAAUUGCUAGUAAUGGCAGGUCAGCAUACUGCCGUGAAUACGUUCCCGGGCCUUGUACACACCGCCCCGUCACACCAUGAGAGUUGGGAAUACCCGAAGCCUGUGAGCUAACUUUUAGAGGCAGCAGUCGAAGGUAGAAUCAACGAUUGGGGUGAAGUCGUAACAAGGUAGC
rnacentral:rRNA from 1 species